CGCAGUUUGAAGAUAACAAAGAGGUGGAGCACUCUGUGAACGCUGCUGCCUCAGAAAGACGGAUCGUCACCAAAUAAAUAAGUGGUUAAAUAAGGAUGUGACAUCACGUGUUCCUCCAUCAUUGUGAGUUCAGGUGCCAUGAUUCAGAGUUACCUGACUUCAGAAAGUGUCCUUCACUCAAAGUAAUCCUGGUGUUUGUGUGCAUAAAUGACCAACCCUCGCAGGCAGAGUGUUUGUGCCACGGGCCGGGGACAGGGGACAUGAGAAACUGUCAGAAAUGAUCGGGGAAUCCCUCCGGAGUCAGGAAUGAGAGGAGAGACCGGUGCGUCUGGAACUCAGAUUUGUUUCCACUCCAUCUGUUUGAGGAGACCCCACCCAAUCAUCGAAAUGACGACAGCUAAAAUCACAGGAAGGUGUAAGAGGCUGAGUCCAGCAGGGGUUUGAAAUUUUGACAGAGCUUCCUCUUGGAAUAAACGCGUGGUUGCAGGGAUCUAAAAAUCUGCUUCGAGGAAUCCACUCAGUAAAUUAAAUGGAUUUGCGGAGAACAGGGAGGCCUCGCAGAAUGAUUUUCAAUCAGAAGGAGAUGAAUGAAUAUGCCGAAUGGCAAACAGCUGUCGGAUACAUUUGUUUUGAACCCUUUCUGUGAAAUUAAAUCCUCAACUGAUUAUGGAAGGAUGGUAUUACAUAGAUGAGGAUGAGAAAUACAAAUAUGAAACAACUCCAAAUGUGAAGAAGCGCAAUUGUUUUCUCUUUAACCAUUGGAAAUACAUCUCCAUACUGAUGCCGCUACCCCAAUUGGCUCUCGCUGAUAGAAAUCAUCCAACAAAUGUCUUUCAUGAUUGCAGCUAAUGUUUGCAUUCAGCUGCUUGCCAGUUUGGAUAUCGUCUCUGCGGCUCAUUUAUGCAUUUCUUGAGUCAAGAUUAAAUCCCUGCGAGAUAUCAUGCACCUGCAUUCUUGAGACUUGUAAUAUU